rnacentral:rRNA from 1 species
UACAUGCAAGUCGACGCUUUUUCUUUCACCGGAGCUUGCUCCACCGAAAGAAAAGGAGUGGCGAACGGGUGAGUAACACGUGGGUAACCUGCCCAUCAGAAGGGGAUAACACUUGGAAACAGGUGCUAAUACCGUAUAACAAUCGAAACCGCAUGGUUUCGGUUUGAAAGGCGCUUUUGCGUCACUGAUGGAUGGACCCGCGGUGCAUUAGCUAGUUGGUGAGGUAACGGCUCACCAAGGCAACGAUGCAUAGCCGACCUGAGAGGGUGAUCGGCCACAUUGGGACUGAGACACGGCCCAAACUCCUACGGGAGGCAGCAGUAGGGAAUCUUCGGCAAUGGACGCAAGUCUGACCGAGCAACGCCGCGUGAGUGAAGAAGGUUUUCGGAUCGUAAAACUCUGUUGUUAGAGAAGAACAAGGAUGAGAGUAAAAUGUUCAUCCCUUGACGGUAUCUAACCAGAAAGCCACGGCUAACUACGUGCCAGCAGCCGCGGUAAUACGUAGGUGGCAAGCGUUGUCCGGAUUUAUUGGGCGUAAAGCGAGCGCAGGCGGUUUCUUAAGUCUGAUGUGAAAGCCCCCGGCUCAACCGGGGAGGGUCAUUGGAAACUGGGGAACUUGAGUGCAGAAGAGGAGAGUGGAAUUCCAUGUGUAGCGGUGAAAUGCGUAGAUAUAUGGAGGAACACCAGUGGCGAAGGCGGCUCUCUGGGUCUGUAACUGACGCUGAGGCUC